UCGUUCCUGCAGCAGGGCACCGCCGAGGUCUCGAUCAAGGGCCUGGUGCUCCGCCACAUAGGCACUGGCGGCUGCUGCGGCGAGCUGAACUUCCUCGGCAUCACAAACCGGACCUUCAC
rnacentral:ribozyme from 1 species